rnacentral:lncRNA from 1 species
UUUUAUGGUAGAAAGGUAAAUGAGUCUAGUUUCAAUUAAAAUUAACUGAACUUAAUUUUGAGUUUUGUAGCUCAAGGUAUAAAUAAUUUAGUGACUGUUGCUCAGGAAGACAGCUUGUUGUGAACUUGAGAAUAUGUUGUAAACAUUGAUAAAACAUGUUAAUGAGUUGCUUAUUGUUUUCAUAUGAACUUACUAAGAGUAAAGCUUACCCCUCUUUCUUUCCCAUGUUCCCUAGGGUUGCCAGGCUAGCUCG